AUCGCCUCAAGCACGACAUUUGUAGGUUGUACCACUGCCCUUGAUUCCUGCAAGUUAGCAACAGCUGCAAAUUAUGGUAGUCGAGCUCGGAACUGAAUGAAGGUAUGCCAAAUAAUAUGGUAACAGACUUACACGUUGUUCUUGUAUUACAUCAUCGAACCGCUUGUUAAGUGCAUUGAACCUGUCAUCAAUUUGAUUUGAUAGUAAUCUGUACUGAUUGGUAAUGAACUCUUGAAGUUCCUGCAUAAUUUUGUGAUUGCUAUCAGCUUGUCCCUGGUCCGAUUGUUCUGAUGUUGUGUGGCAUUGGGGGAUUGAGAAUGAGUUGUUAUGUUUAUGUCUUGUAAUGUCAUAGACAAUCUGACAUAGAAUAGAAAGAAGGAUUUGGUUAGUAGCUGCUGGGGUUUGUAUAAAGUAAUGAGAUGGUUACUGAUGUCCGAUAUUCCUUUACCUUCCCUUCCCUAAAAUGAUGGUUGCGUGCUAGUUUGCAUCGUUCUUUGGCUCUCUUUUCGUCCCAAUAUUGCAUAAGUGGUUUGUCCCCUCCAGGCUGUUCUAAUGUAGGGUAAAUAUGAGACAUAGACACCUUCUCCCAGUACCAGACCUGUAGUUAAAAAAAUUAUAGUUGUUUUUGCUGUGAAUAUAAACAUAGUGUCAUGAAGCUUUAUUCAAUAUAUGCAAUGUACAUACCUGCAAAAGAACUAGAUUCCUUUUAAGAUUAGCUGCCUUUACCUCCCUGUAUUCCCGUAUGCUUCUGAUCAAGAAAUUAAGAACCAGGCUGCUCCAGUUCAGGUUCUUGAUAUUAUCAAUUUCUUCAACGAGCCCAAGAUAAUCUGAUUUGACGUAUGGCUGUAGUGUUGGGCACAAGUAGAAACCAAUGGUGUACAACACAAAUAUGCGAAUAAAGUCAUCACCAUAGGUUUUGUUCUUGCUUAAAUAUUCCCUCAACUCCG
rnacentral:lncRNA from 1 species